GGUGUAGUUCAGUUGGUUAGAGCGUCAGAUUGUGGUUCUGAAUGUCGUGGGUUCGAGUCCCACUACC
rnacentral:tRNA from 1 species